GCAACUAAACAAUUCAAUUUGCAGUACUUAAAAACUUCAAUUUACAACAUUUAAACACUUCAAUUUGCAGCACUUUAACACUUCAAUUUACAACAUUUAAACACUUUAAUUUGCAGCACUUUAACAUCUCAAUUAACAACAUUUAUACUCCUCAAUUACAGCGAUAAAACAUUUCAAUUUCUAGCAACUAAACACUUCAAUUUACAACAUUUAAACACUCAAUUUACAUCAUUUAACACUUCAAUUUGCAGCACUUUAACAUCUCAAUUAACAACAUUUAUACACCUCAAUUACAGCGAUAAAACAUCUCAAUUUCCAGCAACUAAACACUUCAAUUUGCAGUACUUAAACACUUCAAUUUACAACAUUUAAACACUUCAAUUUACAGCAUUUAAACACUUCAAUUUGCAGCACUUUAACACUUCAAUUUACAGCAUUUAAACACUUCAAUUUGCAGCACUUUAACAUUUCAAUUAACAACAAUUAUACACCUCAAUUACAGAUAUAAAACAUCUCAAUUUCCAGCAACUAAACACUUCAAUUUGCAGUACUUAAACAGUUCAAUUUACAACAUUUAAGCACUUUAAUUUACAACAUUUAAACACUUCAAUUUAUAGCAUUUAACACUUCAACUUGCAGCACUUUAACACUUCAAUUUAUAGCAUUUAAACACUUCAAUUUGCAGCACUUUAACACUUCAAUUUACAGCAUUUAAACACUUCAAUUUGCUGCACUUUCAUACCUUCAGGUAGAAAAGAUUUUAUGCACUGUUUGUACUUGGUAGGGGUUUUCUAAAAACUGCAUCAUACUAUAUGAUUCAUACUUAC
rnacentral:lncRNA from 1 species